CAGUCAUAAUCAUGGUCUGGGUCUGGGUCUGGGUGUAGUCUGGGUCUGGGUCUGGGUCUGGGUCUGGGUGUAGUCUGGGUGUAGUCUGGGUCUGGGUCUGGGUCUGGUCUGGGUGUAGUCUGGGUCUGGGUCUGGUCUGGGUGUAGUCUGGGUCUGGGUCUGGGUGUAGUCUGGGUCUGGGUCUGGGUCUGGGUGUAGUCUGGGUCUGGGUCUGGGUGGGUGUAGUCUGGGUCUGGGUGUAGUCUGGGUCUGGGUCUGGGUCUGGUCUGGUCUGGUCUGGUCUGGUCUGGUCUGGGUGUAGUCUGGGUGUAGUCUGGGUCUGAGUCUGGGUGUAGUCUGGUCUGGGUCUGGGUGUAGUCUGGGUCUGGGUCUGGGUGUAGUCUGGUCUGGGUCUGGGUGUAGUCUGGGUCUGGGUCUGGGUCUGGGUCUGGGUGUAGUCUGGGUCUGGGUUUGGGUGUAGUCUGGUCUGGUCUGGGUCUGGGUGUAGUCUGGGUGUAGUCUGGGUCUGGGUCUGGGUCUGGGUGUAGUCUGGGUCUGGGUGUAGUCUGGGUCUGGGUCUGGGUCUGGGUCUCGGUCUGGGUCUGGGUGUAGUCUGGGUCUGGGUGUAGUCUGGGUCUGGGUCUGGGUCCGGGUCCGGGUCUGGGUCUGGGUCUGGGUGUAGUCUGGUCUGGGUCUGGGUCUGGGUGUAGUCUGGGUCUGGGUCUGGGUCUGGUCUGGUCUGGUCUGGUCUGGGUCUGGGUCUGUGUGUAGUCUGGGUCUGGGUGUAGUCUGGGUCUGGGUCUGGGUCUGGGUCUGGGUGUAGUCUGGGUCUGGGUCUGGGUCUGGGUCUGGGUGUAGUCUGGGUCUGGGUCUGGGUCUGGGUGUAGUCUGGGUGUAGUCUGGGUCUGGGUCUGGGUCUGGUCUGGGUGUAGUCUGGGUCUGGGUCUGGUCUGGGUGUAGUCUGGGUCUGGGUCUGGGUGUAGUCUGGGUCUGGGUGUAGUCUGGGUCUGGGUCUGGGUCUGGGUGUAGUCUGGGUCUGGGUCUGGGUGGGUGUAGUCUGGGUCUGGGUGUAGUCUGGGUCUGGGUCUGGGUCUGGUCUGGUCUGGUCUGGUCUGGUCUGGUCUGGUCUGGGUGUAGUCUGGGUGUAGUCUGGGUCUGAGUCUGGGUGUAGUCUGGUCUGGGUCUGGGUCUGGGUGUAGUCUGGUCUGGGUCUGGGUGUAGUCUGGGUCUGGGUCUGGGUCUGGGUCUGGGUGUAGUCUGGGUCUGGGUUUGGGUGUAGUCUGGUCUGGUCUGGGUCUGGGUCUGGGUGUAGUCUGGGUGUAGUCUGGGUCUGGGUCUGGGUCUGGGUGUAGUCUGGGUCUGGGUGUAGUCUGGGUCUGGGUCUGGGUCUCGGUCUGGGUCUGGGUGUAGUCUGGGUCUGGGUGUAGUCUGGGUCUGGGUCUGGGUCCGGGUCCGGUCUGGUCUGGGUCUGGGUCUGGGUGUAGUCUGGGUCUGGGUCUGGGUCUGGUCUGGUCUGGUCUGGUCUGGGUCUGGGUCUGUGUGUAGUCUGGGUCUGGGUGUAGUCUGGGUCUGGGUCUGGGUCUGGGUCUGUGUGUAGUCUGGGUCUGGGUCUGGGUCUGGGUCUGGGUGUAGUCUGGGUCUGGUCUGGGUCUGGGUCUGGGUGUAGUCUGGGUCUGGUCUGGUCUGGGUCUGGGUCUGCUGGUCAUGGGGGGGUCCAACUCCCACCAGAUCAACGAAGAGACACUCCCCUCUCUCUCCUGCCUCCUAAAAGUUAGUGUGUGUAGCUUAUGUGUGUGAUUGUGUGUGUGUGUGUGUGUGUGUGUGUGUGUGUGUGUGUGUGUGUGUGUGUGUGUGUGUGUGUCUGCGUGUCUGUGUGUGUGUGUAUGUGUGUGUGUUGAAGAGCAGAGAGUGGGAGGCACUGCAGGCGGUGUGUGUGUGUGUGUGUGUGUGUGUGUGUGUGUGUACUGCAGGCGGUAUGUUUCUGAUCUAGUUUGCUGAGAGCCACGGAGAGGCCGGGAUGGCAGAGGUCACAUGAUUAAAAGACAAAGCCAUAAAAAGUGCAUUAAGCCCUGAGGACUAAGUGCCGUGUUGUUAUCUAGUUGUGUG
ensembl:lncRNA